GGGGACUUUUACAAUCUCAAUGAGAUGAAUACUUAAUAUCAGGAUUGACCUAUUCCAGAGCCUGGGAUUUUUUAUAUUUUACAUAGGGCCUGUAGUUCAUGCUGUUCAAACUAAAGUUUGAGGAGCACCAAAAAACGAGACGCAUAAUAUUCAAAAGUAUAUGCUGCAAGGGACAUUCUGCAUUUUUUAUUGGGGUUUAUUUUUUUUUAAAGGAAAUAUUGAAUAAAGUUGGCAAUUGAGAGGCAUUAUUUGAUUUUUGUUUUAUAAAGAGAUAUUUAGACCAACUCCCAGACUUUUCUACCUUGAACUUGCAUUCUCAUUGACAUAAAACAGAUGAACUCUUCUCCAAUUCUUAUAAAGAGCCAAUACUCAUAUCACCAGACUUUUUUUUUUACCUUGAACCUGCAUUAUCAUCACUGACAGGAAAAAUGAACUCUUCCCCAAACUAGCACCUCCAGAGUGAUUACAAUUACUUCCUGAGGGCUUGGUAACCUCAGCAGUUUUUUUUCGCCUCUUUGCAUUUCUUUACCCUCUAGGCUGCCAUAUCAGUUUUAUGCUCCAGAAUAAUAUUUUAAAAUAAUGAAAAGUUGAAAAGAAACAGAUGCUACCUCCCUCCUCUGACCUCAUCCCAAACUGUCUCCACUUCCACCUUCAGGUCCCUAUCACCGGGCUUUCUGGCUUAAGGCAACAGUCCUAUGCUACAUUAUUUUUUUUUUUUUUUUUGAGAAGAAAUUCUAAUUAAAGUAAUUUCAACUUGGGCUUGCGAAUUAAAACAGACAUCUUUUAUAACAACUCAGAGAGGCUAUAUAAACCUCUGGAAUGGAAGAACAUUUGAUUAGGUAGGGUUAUAGAUUCUAUUUCAUUCAGUCUAGUGCUAGGCUAUUCCUCUAUCUGACUAAGAAUUGAUCUCACAUCCAGGAAAGCAUAGUCCUCAUAGUGAAAUCAUUGGCAAUAGUUCUGCUAACAUAAUAGAUGAACAAAAACAAAGUAAUCCACUACAAAAACCCAAGCUCUAGGACUCACUGUUAUACAUGCCAUUUGACUUCUAGAAAUGGAUAUGGUAUUCAAUAUAAUUCUUCUGACAUCUUAAAAACAAACAUUCAUUUUUACCACCUAGUGAUUAGAAACCAUGCUUUGGGUAGAUCAUAUUUUUUAUGGAUAAUGUUUGCAUGAAUGCUAGGUUGCUAAAGCUUUUACUUAUGGAGAUAUAGGCAAAGUCAAAAGUGGCACAUUUAUACUUGAGAAUCUCAAAAUGUCUUGAUCUCUAGGGCAGUGCUGUUUCCAGCCAGGAUUAUAUUGUCUUUGUUGCCUAAGCACCAGGGUGUAGACUGGCUUUUGAAAGUCUGCACCAAAUAAAACUCCCUACCCCACCCCCCAAUCAGGAAAAAACAAGCCUCCCCCGCACACUUUAAAAAAAAUGAAAUGAAGAAAGGAGAAGGAGAGAUGGUUAUAUUUUUAGAGAGAUAUUUAUCCAGGUAGGAUUUGACGCUGCAAUAUGGUAAAGUCAGGGGACCAGUUCAGAGUUUUGGAGAUUAGAUCUACUUUGAAUUUCUUUACCGCCCUCUUUAUAAUUCCAUUCUAAUAUGUGUGUGUCUUAGGACUUCUUCCUUUAAGUACAAUUCUUCUCAGGUGAGUAAGGUUGCUAGAAGACAGCUAAUAAAAAAUAUACUUAUCUGGAAAUGCCAAGAGAUCUUUUUGAGGGUUUUCUACCAAACUUUCCAGUUCUUCCUGUAGAGAGUUGUUAUUUCUUUUUGGUCUCUACAGAAUAAAGAGAUGAAUUAUUUCUGGAUGAUGCCUACAUUUUGAAAUAUCUUCAAUCCCUUUUCCAUCACCCCAUUUCACAACUUGUUUCUAUCUUUAAAAAAAUCUAUUACAAAAGUUCACUAAUAUGUUAGAUCUCCACCAGAAGGUAGGCCUCUUUAGUCUUCCUAAUCUCAUCACAUUCCAAAUGGACUCCUGUAUAAAAACCUGGUGCAACAUCAUUGUAUUGCUGUCUAUUCUGGAUAUAUAAGGUAAAGGUAUCUCCUCUGCAGAAUUCCAUCUGUUUUAUAAUCUUAAAAUAGUAGAGGGAAAGACUUGGGCAAUCAGAGAUUACCUAGAUUGAAAUUCUGGGCUGAGCACCCUUCUUUCUUAAAGCAGGGGCUGGAAACAUUAUGAAGAAAGGUCACCUAGACCAAUCAUGGUUGCUCAGUAAUAUGAAAGAGUUUGUAAGAGUAGGGUGGCUUCAUUUCCUCUCAGAGAAGGAAGACCAUAGAUUAUGGGAUGAUGAGGAGGGCAGAGGACAAUAGGUGGGAGAGGCCAGUUAGACUAUAGUGCAAAGUACGUACCUACGUAAAACUCUACGGGCCUCUAGGAGAUUACAUAUGGCAUUACCACAUUUUCAAUAUUUUUGCCCUCAAGGAGCAGAGAUGAUUAGAAAUAAAACAUUGGUAACUUUUAAACUAUGCAUAUCAUUCAAGCCCCAAAUGUUAUAGGACUAGGAGCUGCUAUGGUGCUUAUAUGGGGAGAGAGAGAGAAAAAAGGAUGGUUUUUCAGUUGCUUGUAUACAAGAAUAUAUACUUAAGAGGCCAUAUUGAAGAAGGAAAAACUUAGAGUGCUUAAAGUUUCAAAUUUAAUUUAAAUAAAUGGAAAAAAAAAGAGUCGAUGGUAAUUUCAAGGGGCAUUUGAUUCUCCCGAAGAUGCCUUUAGAUUCAGUACAUAAAUUCUUCUUCAUAUGUAGAUUUGUAUUAAAUCCUGUUUCAAGGAUUUCCUUAGUGAAAGAGGCUCCUUUAAAUGUGUGGACUAUAACAUUUUUGACUAUUUGGGUUGUGUUCACCCAAAUAUCAGCAAUUAUUUGUAAAGGAAAUGAUCCAGGGUUAUUUUGAUGGGCUACCCUUGUCUGCAGUGUUUGGAAAUGUUAAUCUUUAUAAAAUGCAUCUAUCAUCCUCUUUUUCUUGGGUGAAUUUACCUAUUGCCAGAUUCAAUCAUUUAAAAAAAAAAAAAAGAAGAGAAGAGAAAACAGAAAAUGUGGUACCUGCUCAAAAGGAACCUUAAUCUGUGGGAUUCAGUCCCAGACUAAGUUCUUGAUUUUACUGUUUGAGGAAAAACAACCAAAAAAAGGCUCCUAGUACUUCACAAUUCAUAGAUGAACACAAAGCACUAAGGCAACAGGGUUAGUUGUUUGGAAUGAAAAUUAAAGAACUAAAAAAACAUUUCCUCAUGAGGUUCUUUGCUCUUGAUGUAGAAAUUCCUCCCUUCCUCCACUUUGUUUUAAAAGUUCAGGAUUAUCUGUAACCACAGAUAGUUUUAUCCUCUUCCACUGGGUAUAGAAUGUUUUGUUUUUUAUAAUAUGAAUCCAUUUGGAAGGCAGCUUAUUUAAGAUUAGUUUAGUGAAAUACUGUACCUGAAGUAUCCUUUAUCUUCCCAAAAACCAAAACCCUACUUUUCAAAUAUAUGCCCCCUCUUUCAUGAAGAGGGCACUGAUUAUUGCAGGAUAGGAGAAGUUCUGGAGGAGAAAACAUGCACUAGGAACCUAUAUCAGCAAAAUAUAUAAAAAUGGUACACUACCUCUUACCUACUAAUUGAUUCACUGAAUGGCUAUGACCCCUGGGGUAUCAUUCUACCGAUAAUUCUGAGGGCACCUUCUGAUUUAUUUUUUUUUUAAAGAGAUGGGGAAGACUGACUAUUUCGGACUACAAGACUGAGUAGAAACUCUAGGGACAUUUUGAACUAACUGCUUUAAUCUUAUCAACUGGAUUUUUUUUUUUUUUAAUUUGGGAAGCUAAGGGUUAAAUCAUGGCCUGAAAUUACCUCAUAAAUCAGCUCUACAGGAGAGAAUGGUUUCUAUAUUCAUCACUGUGAUUCAGUAAAGGUUCUGUUUUAAAUGGGCCAUCAUCAAAUGCCACACAAAUGUUUAAAGAGAACUUUUUGCAUAUUUUUGUUUAAAGCCUAUGCUGAGUAAUUCCAUGGUCCCUUCUCUUCUAGGUCUUAUAUUUUCUUAAUUUGCCAAAUCUUUUUUUUAGUCCCAGGAGCUAAAUGAUUCUUCAAAAUAUCAAUAUAAUUUCAGAAAUAUAAUUUAUUACUUAACUUAGAUUCCCUCUAUUUGGCAGUAAGCAAAAAUAUAGAGAGGAUAUGUUAUAAUGACGUUUUUCAUCAUUGAUUAAAUAGAGACAUUUCCUUCUUUGCAAACGCUGAGACAAUUUUC
ensembl:lncRNA